AUACUUACCUGGCAGGGGAGGUACCAUGAUCAAGAAGGUGGUCCUCCCAGGGAGAGGCUUAGCCAUUGCACCGUACUUGUGUUGACCUCUGCAAUUUCCCCAAAUGUGGGAAACUUGACGGCAUAAUUUCUGGUGGUGGGGGACUGAGUUCAUGCUCUUUUUUUUU
ensembl:snRNA U1 U1 spliceosomal RNA